rnacentral:rRNA from 1 species
UGGAGCUGAAAUCAGUCGAAGAUACCAGCUGGCUGCAACUGUUUAUUAAAAACACAGCACUGUGCAAACACGAAAGUGGACGUAUACGGUGUGACGCCUGCCCGGUGCCGGAAGGUUAAUUGAUGGGGUUAUCCUCGCGGAGAAGCUCUUGAUCGAAGCCCCGGUAAACGGCGGCCGUAACUAUAACGGUCCUAAGGUAGCGAAAUUCCUUGUCGGGUAAGUUCCGACCUGCACGAAUGGCGUAAUGAUGGCCAGGCUGUCUCCACCCGAGACUCAGUGAAAUUGAACUCGCUGUGAAGAUGCAGUGUACCCGCGGCAAGACGGAAAGACCCCGUGAACCUUUACUAUAGCUUGACACUGAACACUGGUCCUUGAUGUGUAGGAUAGGUGGGAGGCUUUGAAGUGUGGACGCCAGUCUGCAUGGAGCCAUCCUUGAAAUACCACCCUUUAAUGGCUGGUGUUCUAACGUGGGCCCGUAAUCCGGGUUGCGGACAGUGUCUGGUGGGUAGUUUGACUGGGGCGGUCUCCUCCUAAAGAGUAACGGAGGAGCACGAAGGUCAGCUAAUCCUGGUCGGACAUCAGGAGGUUAGUGCAAUGGCAUAAGCUGGCUUGACUGCGAGCGUGACGGCGCGAGCAGGUGCGAAAGCAGGUCAUAGUGAUCCGGUGGUUCUGAAUGGAAGGGCCAUCGCUCAACGGAUAAAAGGUACUCCGGGGAUAACAGGCUGAUACCGCCCAAGAGUUCAUAUCGACGGCGGUGUUUGGCACCUCGAUGUCGGCUCAUCACAUCCUGGGGCUGAAGUAGGUCCCAAGGGUAUGGCUGUUCGCCAUUUAAAGUGGUACGCGAGCUGGGUUUAGAACGUCGUGAGACAGUUCGGUCCCUAUCUGCCGUGGGCGCUGGAGAAUUGAGGGGGGCUGCUCCUAGUACGAGAGGACCGGAGUGGACGCAUCACUGGUGUUCGGGUUGUCAUGCCAAUGGCAUUGCCCGGUAGCUAAAUGCGGAAGAGAUAAGUGCUGAAAGCAUCUAAGCACGAAACUUGCCCCGAGAUGAGUUCUCCCUGACCCUUUAAGGGUCCUGAAGGAACGUUGAAGACGACGACGUUGAUAGGCCGGGUGUGUAAGCGCAGCGAUGCGUUGAGCUAACCGGUACUAAUGAACCGUGAGGCUUAACCUU